AUUAAGUUGUUGAAAUAAACAGUAAACGGGAGUGGCAUGAGGUUUGCAUACUUGUUGAAUUUCUUUAUUUUUAUCUUGGCCAAGGCCUGUUUCCAAUUAACAUAGGCUAUACCCAAUGGGCCACCAGUUAAUAAUUUGGUGUUUUGCCUGAGCAUUUAAUCCUGCUGCUCAUGCCCAUAAUGCGCCACUAUUUUCUGUAGUUUUAAACUCCAGGCCCCAAUCAGCUAACCCUUGGGUUUAAUUUCCACAACUUAAUGCUCGUGUGUUUGCAGAUUUGAAUAUCUGUGUGAACUCGUGCUGCCACAUUAUGAGCCACUCAAGCCCCAUCUUUGCUUCCCUUGGCUUUGCCUUGCUUCCAAUUUGGUUUACAGAGCACCUCCACCUUGACAUGGUUCGAGACUGCAUGCUUUGCCCAUCUCUAAGGUCUUGAGUGUUAGAUAUAAAUCAAUUUUGCUUUCAAUCAUAAAACUGCAGUCAACAGUUCCAAAGCUUAAAUGGUUGAGAGAAAAAGUCGUGUUCAAAUCCUCUCUACCCCAACAUCGCUUGUGACCUAAAAAAAAAAUAUUCAAACUUUAAAAUGCACAGGAUUGCUCUCUAAUUUGCAUGUUAAUAGCUAUUAAACCUAAUUGCGUUUUCAAUACUCUUUUUCUUUUUAUCUGGUUUUACAGGGGAGAAUAGGGGAAGAGAAGAAAUUGAACUCUGGCUUUGAAUGCGAGAUAUUCAAUCAGCUUAAGGGUGACCUGGCUGUACAUUUCUCCUGCAAUUCAUUACACAAUCAAGAUAUCCUUUAAUGACAUAUAAAGGGAAGCCAGACUAUGCAAUUAACGAGAACACAAACGAUGUACCGAAUCUAUAAACUGUUAAAAUAAGUCUAGCACAAAUCAGUUCCUUAACUGGCCCAGCCACUCGGAAUAUAAAUUUGAAAACAAAA